rnacentral:rRNA from 1 species
AGGGGUAGGAGUGAAAUCUUGUAAUCCCUGUGAGACCACCAGUGGCGAAGGCGUCUUACCAGAACGGGUCCGACGGUGAGGGACGAAAGCUGGGGGCACGAACCGGAUUAGAUACCCGGGUAGUCCCAGCUGUAAACGAUGCUCGUUAGGUGUCAGGAACGGUGCGACUGUUUCUGGUGCCGAAGGGAAGCCGUGAAACGAGCCACCUGGGAAGUACGGCCGCAAGGCUGAAACUUAAAGGAAUUGGCGGGGGAGCACUACAACGGGUGGAGCCUGCGGUUUAAUUGGACUCAACGCCGGAAAACUCACCGGGGGCGACAGCGAUAUGUAGGUCAGGUUAAAGGUCUUACCUGAAUCGCUGAGAGGAGGUGCAUGGCCGUCGUCAGUUCGUACUGUGAAGCAUCCUGUUAAGUCAGGCAACGAGCAAGACCCGUGCCCACUGUUACCAGCAUAUCCUUUAUGGAUGAUGGGGACUCUGUGGGGACCGCUGCUGCUAAAGCAGAGGAAGGUGCGGGCUACGGUAGGUCAGUAUGCCCCGAAUCUCCCGGGCUACACGCGGGCUACAAUGGUUGGGACAAUGGGUAUCUACUCCGAAAGGAGUUGGCAAUCUCUUAAGCCCAAUCGUAGUUCGAAUUGAGGGCUGUAACUUGCCCUCAUGAAGCUGGAAUCCGUAGUAAUCGCGUUUAACAUAGCGCGGU